UACCAUGCAAGUCGUACGAUGAAAGCCCAGCUUGCUGGGUGGAUUAGUGGCGAACGGGUGAGUAACACGUGAGUAACCUGCCCUUAACUCUGGGAUAAGCCUGGGAAACUGGGUCUAAUACCGGAUAGGAGCGUCCACCGCAUGGUGGGUGUUGGAAAGAUUUAUCGGUUUUGGAUGGACUCGCGGCCUAUCAGCUUGUUGGUGAGGUAAUGGCUCACCAAGGCGACGACGGGUAGCCGGCCUGAGAGGGUGACCGGCCACACUGGGACUGAGACACGGCCCAGACUCCUACGGGAGGCAGCAGUGGGGAAUAUUGCACAAUGGGCGAAAGCCUGAUGCAGCGACGCCGCGUGAGGGAUGACGGCCUUCGGGUUGUAAACCUCUUUCAGUAGGGAAGAAGCGAAAGUGACGGUACCUGCAGAAGAAGCACCGGCUAACUACGUGCCAGCAGCCGCGGUAAUACGUAGGGUGCGAGCGUUAUCCGGAAUUAUUGGGCGUAAAGAGCUCGUAGGCGGUUUGUCGCGUCUGUCGUGAAAGUCCGGGGCUUAACCCCGGAUCUGCGGUGGGUACGGGCAGACUAGAGUGCAGUAGGGGAGACUGGAAUUCCUGGUGUAGCGGUGGAAUGCGCAGAUAUCAGGAGGAACACCGAUGGCGAAGGCAGGUCUCUGGGCUGUAACUGACGCUGAGGAGCGAAAGCAUGGGGAGCGAACAGGAUUAGAUACCCUGGUAGUCCAUGCCGUAAACGUUGGGCACUAGGUGUGGGGACCAUUCCACGGUUUCCGCGCCGCAGCUAACGCAUUAAGUGCCCCGCCUGGGGAGUACGGCCGCAAGGCUAAAACUCAAAGGAAUUGACGGGGGCCCGCACAAGCGGCGGAGCAUGCGGAUUAAUUCGAUGCAACGCGAAGAACCUUACCAAGGCUUGACAUGUUCUCGAUCGCCGUAGAGAUACGGUUUCCCCUUUGGGGCGGGUUCACAGGUGGUGCAUGGUUGUCGUCAGCUCGUGUCGUGAGAUGUGGGUUAAGUCCCGCAACG
rnacentral:rRNA from 1 species